rnacentral:rRNA from 1 species
CCUACGGGGUGCAGCAGUGGGGAAUAUUGGGCAAUGGAGGCAACUCUGACCCAGCAACGCCGCGUGAAUGAUGAAGGUCUUCGGAUUGUAAAGCUCUGUGAUGGGGGAUGAACACAAUGACGGUACCCCAAUAGCAAGCCACGGCAAACUACGUGCCAGCAGCCGCGGUAAUACGUAGGUGGCAAGCGUUAUCCGGAAUGACUGGGCGUAAAGGGGGCGUAGGUGGUUUAGUAAGUUGGCGGUGUAAGUCCGGGGCUCAACCUCGGCGCUACCUCCAAAACUAUUAGACUAGAGGGCAGGGGGGGUAAGGGGAAUUCGUGGUGUAGGGGUGGAAUGGGUAGAUAUUAGGCGGAACAUCGGGGGCGAAGGCGACUUACUGGACUGUACUGACGCUGAGGCACGAAAGCGUGGGGAGCAAACAGGAUUAGAUACCCUUGUAGUC